AUAUCAUGAACCCAUGACCUGACUCCAGACAAUGAUUUUGCCAUUCCAACUUCAGAGGAAGCUUUGGAAGGAGUUUAAACCAUAAGCUUACCCUCUCAAUCAUCCACUACCCCAAGGACAGAGGUGGGAAAACUCAAAGGCACAGGCUGUACUGAGAAGUUUGAGCAAUGGAGAAGAAAGUGGAGCUCUGACUGACCUUAGCCCACCACAGUCAGGCUCCAAGAGGGGAGAUGGCCUGGGCUGAUGGCUCCCUUUCCUCUGCUGGCCCUUCCCUUUUGGGAAAACCCCCAUGUCAGAAAAGUCUCAAGUCUGUCAGACUGGGAGUCCCCAACUCCCAACCCAAGGAAGCAGCCCUAGGAA
rnacentral:lncRNA from 1 species